rnacentral:rRNA from 1 species
AAUGAAAUUUAAAUAGCCGCUUUUGUGCUAAGGUAGCAUAAUAAUUUGUCUUUUAAUUAAAGACUAGAACAAAAGGUUUAACAUCUCAAUUAAUAUUUCAUAAAAAACUAUUCAAAUUAUUUUAAUUGUAAAAAAACAAUUUUAAAAAAGAAAGACGAUAAGACCCUAUCGAACUUUACUUUAGUUUAACUGGGGCAGUUAAUUAAUUAUUAUUUUAAUUUAAAUAAAAAUUUAAUUUGACCUAAUAUUAUUAAUAAAAUAACUAAGUUACCGUAGGGAUAACAGCGUAAUAAAAUUUUUAAGAUCUUAUUUAAAAUAAAGAUUGCGACCUCGAUGUUGAUUUAAUAUCCUAAUUUACGCAAUAGUUAAUUAAGGAAGUCUGUUCGACUUUUAAAAAAUUACAUGAUUUGAGUUCAGACCGGUGUAAACCAGGUCGGUUUCUAUCUUCUAAAAAAAUUCUUCUAGUACGAAAGGACCUAAGAAAAUAAUAAUAUU